AUGCACGCUGACAGAAUGCUUAACACAUGCAAGUCAACUUGAAUUUGGGUUUUUAACUUAGGUUUGGGUGGCGGACGGGUGAGUAACGCGUAAAGAACUUGCCUCACAGCUAGGGACAACAUUUGGAAACGAAUGCUAAUACCUAAUAUUAUGAUAAUAGGGCAUCCUAUAAUUAUGAAAGCUAUAAGCGCUGUGAGAGAGCUUUGCGUCCCAUUAGCUAGUUGGAGAGGUAACGGCUCACCAAGGCGAUGAUGGGUAGCCGGCCUGAGAGGGUGAUCGGCCACAAGGGGACUGAGACACGGCCCUUACUCCUACGGGAGGCAGCAGUGGGGAAUAUUGGACAAUGGACCGAGAGUCUGAUCCAGCAAUUCUGUGUGCACGAUGAAGUUUUUCGGAAUGUAAAGUGCUUUCAGUUGGGAAGAAACAAAUGACGGUACCAACAGAAGAAGUGACGGCUAAAUACGUG
rnacentral:rRNA from 1 species